UGCAAAGUACCGUACUUCCGCACAUUAGCCAACAUGUCGUCUAAUGUGCGGAAGUACGGUAUUAAUAU
rnacentral:pre_miRNA from 1 species